rnacentral:tRNA from 1 species
GGAAGCGUGGCCGAGCGGUCGAUGGCACCGGUCUUGAAAACCGGCAGCCCGCAAGGGCUCGCGAGUUCGAAUCUCGCCGCUUCCGCCA